ensembl:lncRNA
UUCCAGGGUCACAGCCUGAACCAAUGGGUGGGCUCUGUGAGUGUGAGUGCGGCGGCGCGGCGGUACGAACGGGGGAGGGACACAUUCCUCAGCUCGGCUCGGUCUGCGCGCUGCUACCGGGAGGGAAGCUGAGGUGAUAGACCAACAGGCAGCCACCAGACUUUCUGAACUCUGGCUUUAAGGUUCCCUUUAGGUACUGGAAGUCUGCAAUUAGGUCACCCCGCAGCCUUCUCUUCUCCAAGGUGAACAAGCCCAGCUUCCUAAGCCUGUCUUUGUAGGAGGGGUGUUCCAGCCCUCUGAUCAUCUUUGUGGCUCUCCUCUGGACCCUCUCCAAUAGCUCCCUGUCUUUCUUGUAUUGGGGGUCCCAGACCUGGACACCGUACUCCAGAUGGGGCUUCACAAAGGCAGAGUAGAGAGGGACAAUCACCUCCCUGUCCCUGCUGGCCACCCCUCUUCUGCUGGAGCCCAGGAUACCAUUUGCUUUCUGAGCUGCAAAAGCACUCUUGGAAUCUUCUGAUAUUUUGGAUAUAUUGCUGUUCUAUCAGAGCUAACCACAAGCCUGAAGAAAAUGGGAACUGUAAGGAGAGAAAACCAAUUCAAGCUAAUUCUGGAAGAGAUCUGAAAGCUGUCAGCAAGAGGAAAACAAUUUGAAGAAAGACAAGUAUUUGCUGUCAAGAGUUGUUAUCCUUUAAGAGGGCUGCUCUCAGAUUCUUGCAAUUUAUUGACAGCUAAAUGAAAUCAGGAAGCCAGAAUACUUAUUUGGCAACUCAGAGAUUUCUCCACUGUUAGAUAUCACCUGUAGACUCAAGCAGCAUUAUGAUGUAUGUUUUCUUGCUUCCAAGCACUAACAUACCUGAGAUUGGUUACAAAAGCCUGAGGAAACUCUUUUUCCUUUAACUUAAAAAUGCAUUCCAAAGUGUAAAACUUUAAGGUGUUGGUUUCCCCCUACUUCUAUUUUUAUUUCCAGCCGAAAAUAAAAGGAAACAGUGCUGUAUGAAAGUCUGAAGUCCUUAGGGAGAAGUGUUCAAAAACAAUCCAUAAACAUAGAAUCAAAAAUAAAUGUAACUUUAAAAUAAACUGAAUGCUUUCCCAUACUGUAUAGAAAAAAAAUUAAUAAAAUUAAUAAAAUCAAUCUUCA